GUCGACGUACUUCAUAGGAUCAUUUCUAUAGGUCACGUCCCUCUUUGACUCUUCAAAAGAGCCACUGAAUCCAACUUGGUUGAUGAGUGAGAUUACCCUUAUACCCUCAAAGUGAGAUAAUACAGAAAUUUUUUGCUUGACCGUGAUUCUUUGCAAUCUGGCCAUCUACUUAUAAUGUUUUGCCUUUAACUUUUUGCUAGCCUUUCUUUUUUGAAGGUAAUGCAAUAUUUMUAAAGGAGCGAUGAUCUUUACCCUUUUCAUUGUGCCUUCUAGGAGGAUUUUGAAUUGGGUGGGUAUAAGCGGCUGUCUGACAAGU
rnacentral:snoRNA from 1 species